GAUGAACGCUGGCGGCGUGCCUAAUACAUGCAAGUCGAGCGAACAGAUGAGGAGCUUGCUCCUCUGACGUUAGCGGCGGACGGGUGAGUAACACGUGGAUAACCUACCUAUAAGACUGGGAUAACUUCGGGAAACCGGAGCUAAUACCGGAUAAUAUAUUGAACCGCAUGGUUCAAUAGUGAAAGACGGUUUUGCUGUCACUUAUAGAUGGAUCCGCGCCGCAUUAGCUAGUUGGUAAGGUAACGGCUUACCAAGGCAACGAUGCGUAGCCGACCUGAGAGGGUGAUCGGCAACACUGGAACUGAGACACGGUCCAGCCUCCUACGGGAGGCAGCAGUAGGGAAUCUUCCGCAAUGGGCGAAAGCCUGACGGAGCAACGCCGCGUGAGUGAUGAAGGUCUUCGGAUCGUAAAACUCUGUUAUUAGGGAAGAACAAAUGUGUAAGUAACUAUGCACGUCUUGACGGUACCUAAUCAGAAAGCCACGGCUAACUACGUG
rnacentral:rRNA from 1 species